UGCAUGGUGGUGCAGUUGGUAGCACUGUUGCCUUGUAUCAAGAAGGUACCGGGUUCGACUCCCAGCCGGGGGUCUUUCUGCAU